rnacentral:rRNA from 1 species
GACGAACGCUGGCGGCGUGCUUAACACAUGCAAGUCGAGCGGUAAGGCCCUUUCGGGGUACGACGAGCGGCGAACGGGUGAGUAACACGUGGGUGACCUGCCCUCAGCUCUGGGAUAAGCCUGGGAAACCGGGUCUAAUACUGGAUAUGACUCCAUGACGCAUGUUGUGGGGUGGAAAGCCUUGUGCGGCUGAGGAUGGGCCCGCGGCCUAUCAGCUUGUUGGUGGGGUGAGGCCUACCAAGGCGACGACGGGUAGCCGGCCUGAGAGGGCGACCGGCCACACUGGGACUGAGACACGGCCCAGACUCCUACGGGAGGCAGCAGUGGGGAAUCUUGCGCAAUGGGCGAAAGCCUGACGCAGCGACGCCGCGUGAGGGAUGACGGGCCU